AGCGAACGCUGGUGGCAGGCCUAACACAUGCAAGUCGAACGAAGUCUUCGGACUUAGUGGCGGACGGGUGAGUAACACGUGGGAACGUGCCUUUAGGUUCGGAAUAACUCAGGGGAACUUGUGCUAAUACCGAAUGUGCCCUUCGGGGGAAAGAUUUAUCGCCUUUAGAGCGGCCCGCGUCUGAUUAGCUAGUUGGUGGGGUAAAGGCUCACCAAGGCGACGAUCAGUAGCUGGUCUGAGAGGAUGAUCAGCCACAUUGGGACUGAGACACGGCCCAAACUCCUACGGGAGGCAGCAGUGGGGAAUCUUGCGCAAUGGGCGAAAGCCUGACGCAGCCAUGCCGCGUGAAUGAUGAAGGUCUUAGGAUUGUAAAAUUCUUUCACCGGGGACGAUAAUGACGGUACCCGGAGAAGAAGCCCCGGCUAACUUCGUGCCAGCAGCCGCGGUAAGAC
rnacentral:rRNA from 1 species